rnacentral:rRNA from 1 species
UCGAGCGCACUGGCCCAACUGAUAUGACGUGCUUGCACUGAAUUGACGUUGGAUUACCAGUGAGCGGCGGACGGGUGAGUAACACGUGGGCAACCUGCCCUGAAGCGGGGGAUAACAUCUGGAAACAGGUGCUAAUACCGCAUAACAACGAAAACCACAUGGUUUUCGUUUCAAAGAUGGUUUCGGCUAUCACUUCAGGAUGGGCCCGCGGUGCAUUAGCUAGUUGGUAAGGUAACGGCUUACCAAGGCGAUGAUGCAUAGCCGAGUUGAGAGACUGAUCGGCCACAAUGGAACUGAGACACGGUCCAUACUCCUACGGGAGGCAGCAGUAGGGAAUCUUCCACAAUGGGCGCAAGCCUGAUGGAGCAACACCGCGUGAGUGAAGAAGGGUUUCGGCUCGUAAAGCUCUGUUGUUGGAGAAGAACGUGCGUGAGAGUAACUGUUCACGCAGUGACGGUAUCCAACCAGAAAGUCACGGCUAACUACGUGCCAGCAGCCGCGGUAAUACGUAGGUGGCAAGCGUUAUCCGGAUUUAUUGGGCGUAAAGCGAGGGCAGGCGGUUGCUUAGGUCUGAUGUGAAAGCCUUCGGCUUAACCGAAGAAGUGCAUCGGAAACCGGGCGACUUGAGUGCAGAAGAGGACAGUGGAACUCCAUGGUGUAGCGGUGGAAUGCGUAGAUAUAUGGAAGAACACCAGCGGCGAAGGCGGCUGUCUGGUCUGCAACUGACGCUGAGGCUCGAAAGCAUGGGUAGCGAACAGGAUU